ensembl:lncRNA TOMM22-DT TOMM22 divergent transcript
CUCCAGUGCCCGCAGCGGGUCCGGCAGCCCUGGCCUUAUCCGGGCGUCGGGGCUUCGGCGGGCAUUAGCAGCAGCUGAGAGGCCUGUGAGAGGUUCUGGGGCGCCACCGCAGUCAUUCUGUUCAGCGGGUAUAGGGUUCUUGGAUAAACAAGCUCUGACGAUCAUUCCCAAACAAGAGUUCAAAAAUGUUUUCCGCAAUAGCAAUGAUAUGGACGGAAAGGAUGCCCUCCUGCACUGAUGCCUCUGGAGGACCACACUUUCCAUUCAGAGACACGCUCAGCACUCAACUCAUGCUGCACACCCGGCCGACCCCAGUACCGACACUCACAGAAUGCAGGUUGGAGAGAGAUGCCGACUUCCGAGGAGGUGUCUUCUUCGGACUGAACGUAUUCCCAAAGAAAGGCAUCUUUGGCCUGAUGAAAGCAAAGCCAGUGCUCCCUUCUCCUAGGGUCAGAAAAAGUCAGGGGUACAAGCAGCUGGAUCACUGACCUUAUGCCAUUGUCUUCAAAUCUUGAAGACAUACAUUUUAUCAUGUGGCUACUAACGAUCCUGGUGCUAUGGUUUGAAUGUCCCCACCAAAACUCAUGUUGAAAUUGAAUUGCCAUUGUUUAACAGUAUAAGGGGUGACUGGGCCAUGUGAGCUCUGCUCUCAUGAAUGGAUUAAUGCCAUUGUCAUGGAGUAGGUUAGUUUUCUCUGGCGUGGGCUCCUGGCAAAAGGAUGAGUUCUGCUGCCAUGCUGUCUGUCUCAUGCACUUGCUCACCAUGUGAGCCUUCUGCCUCACACAGGAUGACCCUCACCAGAUACUUGCACCAUGCUCUUGGACUUCCCAGUCUCCAGAACUGUGAGCCAAAUAAACUUCUUUUCUUUAUAAAUUA